ACAAAGGGGGUUUGUUGAUGUGCCCGGGUUGUACUGAACCGGACACAUUACUUUCUAGCUGAACACACAGCCUGAUCCGCUUCUGGACAGCUGAGCCUCUGGAAAUGUACACCUGAAGAAAUUUACAGGGCCUCUUGGAGGUGGCACAUUUCUUCAUGACUUCACCUCACCUGAAUGUUCUUCUCCCCAGCCACACCUUGGUCUGUCUGCCUGCUGUGGGGGUCACACUGUGGCCACAUCCUGCCGGCUCCUGCCUCUCAAGAGCCAACUGAGGUGCUGUCUCGUCUCCAAUCCCUUUCCCUUCUGUCUUUGCCACACGAUCCUCUGACUCUCUUUUAAACACUCCUUAACAUUUAUCUACUCCCGGAAGCAUGCCUGUCGCCAACUAGAGCCUAGCAGUAGCCACUGGACAAACCCAUAGCGACCGCAAGGCUUUGUGAUACUCUGCAGUCAUGACUAGAUGAUGUCUUUGUCUCAUUCACAAAGUGUUUCACUGCUUUCUUUGGGUAUAAGAAAGUUGUGGAGUAUGCGUGUCCUGUUAACCUUCCUUACUGCGAUGAUGAUGAUCAUGACGAUGAUGAUGGUGAGGACGACAAUGAAGUGCCAGCCAUGAUUUUGGUGAUGAUACAAUUGUGCACGAAGAGGGGAAGGAGUAAGAAUUGGCAUUCUGGACUCCAUCACUUCACUGUUAUUGGCUCUGGUCCACUUGACCUCCCUGAGCUACUUCUUCAUCUCUGAAACGGAAUGGAGCGUUAUUUGUGUCUUGUCUUUUUGCAAAGCUGUGGCCACUGAGUACUGCUAGGACAAAUAACACCAAUGAGGAUUGAUCAUUUUACAAGUGAAUCAUUUGUAAAGUACCCUUGCUCCUCUACCGUCACCCAGCAAUCUCUCUCAUCCUCCGGUCAGGAAGGAGAUGGAAAUUAUUAUCAAGCAGGGACCUUAGCUGAAACAGAAUAUGACUCUGGCGUUUCCUAAGCAGAGGAGACUUUACUGAAAGGAUAUCGAGGCUCAAAGAAUUGAAGGGAGGCGGAGAACCAGCUUGCA